UACGUAGGGUGCAAGCGUUGUCCGGAAUUAUUGGGCGUAAAGAGCUCGUAGGCGGUCUGUCGCGUCGGCUGUGAAAACUCGGGGCUCAACCCCGAGCCUGCAGUCGAUACGGGCAGACUAGAGUGCUGUAGGGGAGACUGGAAUUCCUGGUGUAGCGGUGAAAUGCGCAGAUAUCAGGAGGAACACCGGUGGCGAAGGCGGGUCUCUGGGCAGUAACUGACGCUGAGGAGCGAAAGUGUGGGGAGCGAACAGG
rnacentral:rRNA from 1 species